rnacentral:rRNA from 1 species
GAUGAACGCUGGCGGCGUGCCUAAUACAUGCAAGUCGAGCGAACAGACGAGGAGCUUGCUCCUCUGACGUUAGCGGCGGACGGGUGAGUAACACGUGGAUAACCUACCUAUAAGACUGGGAUAACUUCGGGAAACCGGAGCUAAUACCGGAUAAUAUAUUGAACCGCAUGGUUCAAUAGUGAAAGACGGUUUUGCUGUCACUUAUAGAUGGAUCCGCGCCGCAUUAGUUAGUUGGUAAGGUAACGGCUUACCAAGGCAACGAUGCGUAGCCGACCUGAGAGGGUGAUCAGCCACACUGGAACUGAGACACGGUCCAGACUCCUACGGGAGGCAGCAGUAGGGAAUCUUCCGCAAUGGGCGAAAGCCUGACGGAGCAACGCCGCGUGAGUGAUGAAGGUCUUCGGAUCGUAAAACUCUGUUAUUAGGGAAGAACAAAUGUGUAAGUAACUAUGCACGUCUUGACGGUACCUAAUCAGAAAGCCACGGCUAACUACGUG